CCGCACUUUCCAUUCGCUGUCGAGCUCAGGCAGCCAUGUGAUGAAGUUCUGCUCUUCCCUCACACCUUCUCAUCCUGAGGAUGGAAUAAGAUGCUUUCAAACGACGAUGCCUCUUUAGCAAACAAGGAUUUCGCGGAUGUGCUUUCUAACCGAGAAUGUUCGUUUAUCCGUUUCACAUCCAGAUGACCGGGUUUUCGAUGCCAUGAGGGAGCCCAAGAAGAAUAGGCAGCUGUAGCUCGGAGUCGCCCGCAGGAGGAAGUGGAGGCAGCGCUGCCUCAUGAGGCUGAUGCAACAUGAGGGUCGGCGGACCAAUAAAGGAGGCUACAGGAAUCAUGGGAAGGAUGUGAUCUGGAUACACAGAGCUCACAGAUCAUCAUAUGAAGAUGACGAGGAUGAUUCAAUGAAAGGGUAAAAUGUAUAAUAUUAAUAAUAAUAAUAUAUAUAUCUUGAUUAAUGCUGAUUAAUCACAUCCAAAAUAAAAGUUUGUGUUUACAUUAUACAUGUUUACUGUGUACAUGUAUAUAUAAAUACACACUCGUACAUAUACAUAUAUAUUUAAGAAAUAUAUGUAAUAUAUAUUUAUACGUAUUAAAUAUGAAUAUAUGUACAUGUAAAUAUAUAUAUGUAUGUGUAUUUAUAUAUAUAUAUAUAUAUAUAUAUAUAUAUAAUGUAAACACAAACUUUUAUUUUGGAUGCGAUUAAUCAGCAUUAAUCGAUUUAACAGCCAUUAUAUAUAUGACCAUACUAAGAAGUUUGAAUAUAAAUAAAUAAAUAAAC